rnacentral:rRNA from 1 species
UACGUAGGGCGCAAGCGUUGUCCGGAAUUAUUGGGCGUAAAGAGCUCGUAGGCGGUUUGUCGCGUCUGUCGUGAAAGCUUGGGGCUUAACCCCAAGUCUGCGGUGGAUACGGGCAGACUAGAGGCAGGUAGGGGAGAACGGAAUUCCCGGUGUAGCGGUGAAAUGCGCAGAUAUCAGGAGGAACACCGGUGGCGAAGGCGGGUCUCUGGGCAGUAACUGACGCUGAGGAGCGAAAGCGUGGGGAGCAAACAGG